rnacentral:rRNA from 1 species
UGACAAUUUAGUUCUGGUUGCCGUAAUUGGCUUACUCUUUUAUCUAUUACACAUGGUAGUUUAGGCGUAUUAUGAGUAGGUUUUGUGGGGGUAUUUAGCUUCUAAAGGAAUGGAUAAAUAUCUUGCAAGAUAAGCAAUAAGAGGAUAUCUAGAAAGGUUAGUUUAUUCCAUAACUCCAGUGAAGAGAAUUUAACAAUUAGCGACAGCUAGAUUAAGUAAGGGAGAAUAAGGGCAGUCUAAUGAGGUGCCAGCAGUCGCGGUUAAACCUGAUAGCCCGAGUCAAUUUUAUUAAGCGUAAAAGGUGGUUGGGCAAGCUGCACAUGGGAAGGAUAAGAGUAAUAUAAGCCUGAUAGUAAUAGGUUUAAUUUUAAACUCUCAGGAAGGGUGAUUGUAUUUCUCUAUGUUGAGGCCACGGAACCGGGGUUGUAGACAAGGAUUAGGUACCCUUUUAUUCCCGGCAGAAACUUUGUUUUGCUAACUGUUUGAGGACUACGAGCAUAUUGCUUAAAACUCAAAGAACAUGGCGGCUAGUCAAUCUAAUUAGGGGAACAUGUGUCUUAAUACGAAGAUGCGCGAUUAAUUUUACCACAUCUUGAAAGUGAUCAGCUAGUGUAUUGCCGUUGUCAAUUAAUGGUCAAGCUUAAAAAAUUAGUUCAAUGGAGGUUUUAGAAACAGACUAUCCGUGAAUUCAGGUCAAAAUGCUGCUAAUGGUGCGGGGAUGGGGUGUUACAUUCUUUAUUUGAGAAACGGAACUCACAGAAGACUGUUAAGUAACUGUUUCAGAUGUAAUUUGAGGGAAGGAGAACUUAAAAGUAAAAAGAAAUUAGAAUGUUUUUUUGAAUAAGUGCUGGCUUGUGUACAAACCGCCCGUCACUCUCGCCGGAAGGGGAGAUAAGUCGUAACAAGGUAGGGGUACCGGAAGGUGCGCCCUGUAAAGGU